GGGCGCAUAGCUCAGCUGGACAGAGCGCACGGUUCACAUCCGUGAGGUCGGGGGUUCAAGUCCCUCUGCGCCCACAA
rnacentral:tRNA from 1 species